rnacentral:lncRNA from 1 species
CGGCGGCGUCGACGACGGUCAUCCUUGAUCGACGACGAAAACAACAAUCGUACGUUCACCACACUAGCUAGCACUAGCAGAGAAGAAGAAAAAGUUUCGAGUAGUCUUCCUGGCCGGAGGAAAUGAGUUCGGUAGGUUUAAUUUGGUGGCGCGAGGGGCUCCGAUUCUUUUCCUGGGAGGAGAUGUGUUGGGGCGUGGCGCGGAAUUUAUAGCCACAGGACAACGAGACGGACGGGCACCGCGUGUGUCGUGUGUG